AGGACGAACGCUGGCGGCGUGCUUAACACAUGCAAGUCACGGGGGCUUGGUGGGCAACCAUCAGGUAACCGGCGAACGGGUGCGUAACACGUGAGCGACCUGCCUUAUUGAGGGGGAUAGCCGGCCCAACGGCCGGGUAAUACCGCAUACGCUUGGUUGGGGGCAUCCCCGGCCAAGGAAACCUCCGGGGCGAUAAGAGGGGCUCGCGGCCUAUCAGCUAGUUGGUGAGGUAACGGCUCACCAAGGCGAUGACGGGUAGC
rnacentral:rRNA from 1 species